GAGUCGGCCUGCGCGGAAGAUGUAACGGGGCUAAACCAUGCACCGAAGCUGCGGCAGCGAACGUAUCACUUAAAGCGAUUCAGCGGGUUACGAUUGACGGAGCGAAGCGACGUCAAAGCGUAUACAAAGUCGAGUCGGUUUAAGGAUACGUUCGUUGGGUAGGGGAGCGUUCUGUAAGCCCGUGAAGGUGGCCUGUGAGGGUUGCUGGAGGUAUCAGAAGUGCGAAUGCUGACAUAAGUAACGAUAAAGCGGGUGAAAAGCC
rnacentral:rRNA from 2 species